UGGUCUGAGGGUCAUUCAUGGUGGGCCAAGGUGGUCCAAGAGUCAUCCAAGGUGGUCAAGAGUGGCCUGAGGUUCAACCAAGGUGGUCCAAGAGUGGUCCAAGGUGGCCUGAAGGUCAUCCAAGGUGGUCCAAGGUGGCCUGAAGGUCAUCCAAGAUGGUCCAAAGGUCAUCGAAGAUGGUCCAAGGGUCAUUCAUGGUGGGCCAAGAGUUGUCCAAGGUGGCCUGAGGGUCAUUUGAGGUCAACCAAGGUGGUCCAAGGUGGCCUGAAGGUCAUUUAGGAUGGUCCAAGGUGGCCUGAGGGUCAUUCAUGGUGGUCCAAGAGUCAUUCGAGAUGGUCCAAGGGUCAUUCAUGGUGGUCCAAGAGUCAUCCAAGGUGGCCUGAAGGUCAUUCAAGGUGGCCUGAGGGUCAACCAAGGUGGGCCAAGGUGGUCCAAGGGUCAUCCAAGGUGGUCAAGAGUGGCCUGAAGGUCAUUUGAGGUUGUCCAAGGUGGUCCAAGGGUCAUUCAUGGUGGGCCAAGAGUUGUCCAAGGUGGUCCAAGAUGGUCCAAGGGUCAUUCAGGACAGUCCAGGGUGGUCUGAGGGUCAUUCCAGGGGGUCCAAGGGUCAUCCAAGGUGGUCCAGGCUUGUCCAAGAGUCAUCCAUGGUGGGCUGGAGUGGUCCAAGAUUCAUCCAAGGUUCUCCAAGGUGGUCCCAGGUCCAUCCAAGGUGAUUGAAGGUCCAGCCAAUGUCAUCUGAGGUUGUCCAACGUGGUCCAGGAUGGCCCCAGGUCCAUCCAAGGUUCUCCAAGGUGGCCCCAGGUCCAUCCAAGGUGGCCCCAAGUCCAUCCAAGGUUCUCCAAGGUUGUCCAGGCUUCAUCCAAGGUGGUUGAAGGUCCAUCCAAGGUGGCCCCAGGUCCAUCCAAGGUUCUCCAAGCUCCAUCCCAGGAGAUCCAAGGUUGUCCAAGGUCCAUCCAAGGUGGUCCCAGGUUCUCCAAGGUUGUCCCAGGUCCAUCCCAGGUUCUCCAAGGUGGUCCAAGGUCCAUCCCAGGAGAUCCAAGGUGGUCCAAGAUCCAUCCAAGGUGGCCCCAGGUCCAUCCCAGGAGAUCCAAGGUUCUCCAAGGUCCAUUCAAGGUGGUUGAAGGUCCAUCCAAGGUUCUCCAAGCUCCAUCUUAGGAGAUCCAAGGUGGUUGAAGGUCCAUUCAAGGUUCUCCAAGGUCCAUCCAAGGUGGUCCCAGGUCCACCCAAGGUUGUCCAAGGUCCAUCCAAGGUGGCCCCAGGUCCAUCCCAGAAGAUCCAAGGUUGUCCAAGGUCCACCCAAGGCCACCAAGCUCCACCCAGGAGCUCCAGAAGCCACCUGAGGCCACCAGAAGCUCCUCAGAUCCCUCCAGACCCCAAAAAAACCCCAAAAAUUCCCCAAAAAAAUUCCCAAAAAAAUUCCCAAAAAAUCCCCCAAAGCACUUCCGGGUGGGGGAGGGGCCUUGGACCUCCCGGAACGCCCAAAUUUGGGAUUUUUCCCGCCAAAAAAAAAAAAAAAUUUGAAAAUUUUGGGAAAAAUUUUGGAAUUUUUGGGAAUUUUGGGGGCGGAACCGGAAUUUCAAAGGUACCACCGGGAGCUCCCGGCUCCUCCCAGCACUUUAAGAAGCCCCCAGGAUAAAAAAAAAUCCCAAAAAAUAAAAAAUUUAAAAAUUAAAAAUUUUUAAAUGGUUUCAAAAUUUUAAAUUUUGGGGAAAAAUGCAAAAAAAAUCAGGUUUUUCCAUAAAAAUUUAGAUUUUUUUCACAAAAAUUCCAAUUUUUUCUCCCCAAAAAUUCAGAUUUUUUCUCAGAAAAAAUAAAAUUUUUAUCCCCAAAAAUUCAGAUUUUUUCCCUCAAAAAAAUUCUCCUUUUUCACAAAAAAAUGAAAUUUUAUCCCCCAAAAAUUCAGAUUUUUUCCCAGAAAAAAUCAAAAUAUUUUCCCCCCAAAAACUCAGAUUUUUUCCCAGAAAAAAUUAAAAUUUUAUCCCCCAAAAAUUCAGAUUUUUUCCCCAAAAAAAUGAUAAUUUUGCUCCAAAAAAUUCCAUUUCUUUUCUCAAAAAAUUCAAUUUUUUUCCUCCCGGCUCCUCCGAGCACUUUAAGACGCCCCCAGGACAAAAAAAAAUCCCAAAAAAAAUAAAAAUUUUAAAAAUUAAAAAUUUUUAAAUGGUUUCAAAAUUUUAAAUUUUGGGAAAAAUGGGGAAAAAUACAAAAAAGUCAGGAUUUUUUCCAUAAAAAUUCAGUUUUUUUCCACUAAAAUUCCAAUUUUUUCCCCCAAAAAAUUCAGAUUUUUUCCCAGAAAAAAUCAAAAUUUUAUCCCCCAAAAAUUCAGAUUUUUUUCCCUCUAAAUUUCCAAUUUUUUCAUUAAAAAAAUGAAAUUUUAGCCCCCAAAAAUUCAGGUUUUUUCCAGAAAAAAUCAAAAUUUUAUCCCCCAAAAAUUCAGAUUUUUUCC